ACGGGAAAUGCGCCGGCCUUACCAUGCAAGUCGAGCGGGGAAGGGUAGCUUGCUACCUGACCUAGCGGCGGACGGGUGAGUAAUGCUUAGGAAUCUGCCUAUUAGUGGGGGACAACAUUCCGAAAGGAAUGCUAAUACCGCAUACGCCCUACGGGGGAAAGCAGGGGAUCUUCGGACCUUGCGCUAAUAGAUGAGCCUAAGUCAGAUUAGCUAGUUGGUGGGGUAAAGGCCUACCAAGGCGACGAUCUGUAGCGGGUCUGAGAGGAUGAUCCGCCACACUGGGACUGAGACACGGCCCAGACUCCUACGGGAGGCAGCAGUGGGGAAUAUUGGACAAUGGGCGAAAGCCUGAUCCAGCCAUGCCGCGUGUGUGAAGAAGGCCUUUUGGUUGUAAAGCACUUUAAGCGAGGAGGAGGCUACUUGGAUUAAUACUCUAGGAUAGUGGACGUUACUCGCAGAAUAAGCACCGGCUAACUCUGUGCCAGCAGCCGCGGUAAUACAGAGGGUGCGAGCGUUAAUCGGAUUUACUGGGCGUAAAGCGUGCGUAGGCGGCUUUUUAAGUCGGAUGUGAAAUCCCUGAGCUUAACUUAGGAAUUGCAUUCGAUACUGGGAAGCUAGAGUAUGGGAGAGGAUGGUAGAAUUCCAGGUGUAGCGGUGAAAUGCGUAGAGAUCUGGAGGAAUACCGAUGGCGAAGGCAGCCAUCUGGCCUAAUACUGACGCUGAGGUACGAAAGCAUGGGGAGCAAACAGGAUUAGAUACCCUGGUAGUCCAUGCCGUAAACGAUGUCUACUAGCCGUUGGGGGCCUUUGAGGCUUUAGUGGCGCAGCUAACGCGAUAAGUAGACCGCCUGGGGAGUACGGUCGCAAGACUAAAACUCAAAUGAAUUGACGGGGGCCCGCACAAGCCGGUGGAGCAUGUGGUUUAAUUCGAUGCAACGCGAAGAACCUUUACCUGGUCUUG
rnacentral:rRNA from 1 species